rnacentral:rRNA from 1 species
UACGUAGGGGGCGAGCGUUGUCCGGAUUUAUUGGGCGUAAAAGGCUUGUAGGUGGCCACGCGAAGUCGGAUGUGAAAUCUCCCGGCUCAACUGGGAGGGGUCAUUCGAUACUGGCGGGCUCGAGGCCGGUAGGGGGAAGCGGAAUUCCCGGUGUAGUGGUGGAAUGCGUAGAUAUCGGGAGGAACACCAGUGGCGAAGGCGGCUUCCUGGACCGGUUCUGACAC